rnacentral:rRNA from 1 species
GAAUAACUAAACCUCCGAGCAAUUAAACCAAGACUCACCAGUCAAGGCCAUAAAACUAAUUGAUCCAAUCCUAUUGAUCAACGAAACA